AAGUCGUAACAAGGUUUCCGUAGGUGAACCUGCGGAAGGAUCAUUAUUGAAUAUGCUUGAUAGGUUGUAGCUGGCUCUUCGGAGUAUGUGCACGCUUAUCUUGACUUUAUUCAUCCACCUGUGCACCUUUUGUAGUCUUGGGGGUUGAGAUCGGUCGACUAUCGGAUGGCCAAGGUCAUUCCGGAUGUGAGGAAUGCUGAGUGCGAAAGCAUACAGCUCUUCUCAAACGACUUGUCUUCCUCGAGUACUAUGUAUUCAUAUACCACAUAGUAUGUUGUAGAAUGUGAUCAAUGGGUCUAUGUACCUAUAAUAAUCAUAUACAACUUUCAGCAACGGAUCUCUUGGCUCUC
rnacentral:misc_RNA from 1 species